UGGCAACACCUCUUGGAUGAAAAGAAA
rnacentral:piRNA from 1 species